GAUGAACGCUAGCUACAGGCUUAACACAUGCAAGUCGAGGGGUAACGAGAGGAAAGCUUGCUUUCCUUGUCGACGACCGGCGCACGGGUGAGUAACGCGUAUCCAACCUGCACCCAACUAGGGAAUAACCUUGCGAAAGUAAGACUAAUACCCUAUAAUUUCCUCAGAUGUCAUCUGACGAGGAAUAAAGAUUUAUCGGUUGUGGAUGGGGAUGCGUCUGAUUAGCUUGUUGGCGGGGUAACGGCCCACCAAGGCAACGAUCAGUAGGGGUUAUGAGAGGAAGGUCCCCCACAUUGGAACUGAGACACGGUCCAAACUCCUACGGGAGGCAGCAGUGAGGAAUAUUGGUCAAUGGGCGGAAGCCUGAACCAGCCAAGUAGCGUGCAGGAUGACGGCCCUAUGGGUUGUAAACUGCUUUUAUACAGGAAUAAAGUUAGCCACGUGUGGUUAUUUGUAGGUACUGUAUGAAUAAGGACCGGCUAAUUCCGUGCCAGCCGCCGCAGUAA
rnacentral:rRNA from 1 species